GACGAACGCUGGCGGCGUGCUUAACACAUGCAAGUCGAACGGAAAGGCCCUGCUUUUGUGGGGUGCUCGAGUGGCGAACGGGUGAGUAACACGUGAGUAACCUGCCCUUGACUUUGGGAUAACUUCAGGAAACUGGGGCUAAUACCGGAUAGGAGCUCCUGCUGCAUGGUGGGGGUUGGAAAGUUUCGGCGGUUGGGGAUGGACUCGCGGCUUAUCAGCUUGUUGGUGGGGUAGUGGCUUACCAAGGCUUUGACGGGUAGCCGGCCUGAGAGGGUGACCGGCCACAUUGGGACUGAGAUACGGCCCAGACUCCUACGGGAGGCAGCAGUGGGGAAUAUUGCACAAUGGGCGGAAGCCUGAUGCAGCAACGCCGCGUGGGGGAUGACGGCCUUCGGGUUGUAAACCGCUUUCGCCUGGGACGAAGCGUGAGUGACGGUAAUGGGGAAAGAAGCACCGGCUAACUACGUG
rnacentral:rRNA from 1 species